rfam:Schistosoma curassoni strain Dakar, Senegal genome assembly, scaffold: SCTD_scaffold0001040
AUCCAUCUGAUGUGUCCCAAAUAGGAUGAAACGCCCGUUCUGGAU